GCCAAACAGCUAGCCUAACAACUAAAAUAACUUAAAAUUAUUAAUAACAAAACAUAAUCUAACACCAAAAAUUAAACCAUUUUUUUACCUGAGUAUGGGAGACAGAAAAGGAACAACCCAGAGCAAUAGAGAAAGUACCGCAAGGGAACGCUGAAAGAGUAAUGAAACAACGCAUAUAAGCACCGAAAAACAAAGACUAAGCCUUGUACCUUUUGCAUCAUGAUUUAGCCAGUAUCCCCAAGCAAAGAGCCCUUUAGUUUGAAAUCCCGAAACCAGGUGAGCUACCCCGAGACAGCCUAUAUAACUUAGGGCUAACCCGUCUCUGUGGCAAAAGAGUGGGGAGAGCUCCGGGUAGAAGUGACAGACCUACCGAACCUGGUGAUAGCUGGUCGCCUGAGAGAUGGAUAGAAGUUCAGCCCUAAAUUCCCCGAACCAAAAGCACACCACUUAAGAUCUAAGAGAGAUAUUUAGGAGUUAGUUGGAGGAGGUACAGCUCCCCCAACAAAGGAUACAACCUUAUUGAGGAGGAUAAAGAUCAUAAUCAACAAAACAUACUGUUCUAGUGGGCCUAAAAGCAGCCACCUAACCUGAAAGCGUUAAAGCUCAGACAGAAAAAAGUUUAUUAUAAUGAUAAAAAAUCUUAUUUCCCUCGAACAUAUCAGGCUACCCCAUGCCCCCAUGGAAGAAAUUAUGCUAAAAUGAGUAAUAAGAAGACUUGCUCUUCUCCGAGCACAAGUGUAACCCAGAUCGGACAAACCACUGGGAAUCAACGAACCCAAUCAAAGAGGGCAGCGUGGACAAUAAAAAAGCCAAGAAAACCCCACAACCUGACAUCGUUAACCCCACACUGGAGUGCUAUAAAGGAAAGACUAAAAGAGGAGGAAGGAACUCGGCAAACACAAGCCUCGCCUGUUUACCAAAAACAUCGCCUCCUGCAACCAAACCAAGUAUAGGAGGUCCAGCCUGCCCAGUGACUACAAGUUCAACGGCCGCGGUAUUUUGACCGUGCAAAGGUAGCGCAAUCACUUGUCUUUUAAAUAGAGACCUGUAUGAAGGCUAAACGAGGGCUUAACUGUCUCCCACCUCAGGUCAGUGAAAUUGAUCUAUCCGUGCAGAAGCGGGUAUAAAAAUACAAGACGAGAAGACCCUUUGGAGCUUAAGGUACAAAAUUUAACCACGUCAAGCAACUUAAUAAAAAGCAAAAACUUAGUGAAUCAUAAAAUUUUACCUUCGGUUGGGGCGACCGCGGAGGAAAAACCAGCCUCCGAGUGGAAUGGGCCAAACCCCUAAAACUAAGAGAGACAUCUCUAAGCCGCAGAACAUCUGACCAAAAAUGAUCCGGCCACAGCCGAUCAGCGAACCAAGUUACCCUAGGGAUAACAGCGCAAUCCUCUCCCAGAGUCCAUAUCGACGAGGGGGUUUACGACCUCGAUGUUGGAUCAGGACAUCCUAAUGGUGCAGGCGCUAUUAAGGGUUCGUUUGUUCAACGAUUAAAGUCCUACGUGAUCUGAGUUCAGACCGGAGUAAUCCAGGUCAGUUUCUAUCUGUAAUGCUACUUUUCCUAGUACGAAAGGAUCGGAGAAGGGGGGCCCAUACUUAAAGCACGCCCCGCCCCCAAUUAAUGAAAACAAAUAAAUUAAGUAAAGGGAGGGCCAAAACCCCUGCCGCCCCAAAUAAGGGUAU
rnacentral:rRNA from 1 species